GGAAGGGUGGCAGAGCGGUUGAAUGCAACGGUCUUGAAAAUCGUCGAGCUGUGAGGCUCCGUGGGUUCGAAUCCCACCCCUUCCGCCA
rnacentral:tRNA from 1 species